UGCUCGUUUGUGGGAAGUUCCGAGGCCGAAGCUGCUUUCAGUUGGGAGCCCACUGCCCCAGCAUUCCGGCUGUGCCUGCGGAGGGGAAGCGGAGCCAGGGAGACUUGUCCGUGUUUUGCUAAUAGCCAUCUGGCAGGGAUGCGGCAGCAUGCGGAAUCUUCACAGGGCUCUUGUUUUUCCUCUUCUCUGCUGGGUAACUAAGGAGAUCACCAGACUGCAGGGCCUCCUGCCAGACGGUAGGCAGUUUGCAGAUGGCAGAGAUCAUGGCAGAGCAAUGUUCGUUCCAAGAACCUUGCUUUAAGUCAGGCAGACCAGAGGCCAGGAAUGCUGUUUCAUCUCCUUCAGAACGUAGCCCGUAAACAGUCUAGUUUAAUCCAAGGGGACCAGGAGGACAGCAACCUCGAUGGGCGAACCCAGCCACCAGAGGCUCCAGGUGAAAGAUCUAGAAGCUCACACCAGUGACAACUUGUGUUGCCUUCAUCUUCUGUUUUGUUUUUUAAAAGCAUCUCAUACAGACACCGUGCCUUGUGCUUUAUCCAGAAAAGGAUCUCUAGAGUCUGCUCAGAGUGGACUUUGUUCCCCACAACUGUCAGCUCUCUGCACCUCUGCAGCGCAAGAGAAGACAGCUCACAACAGCUUUUAUCUACAAGGAUUCCCCCAGGCAGUCUCUGUAAAAGGGUUAAUGACAGAUGUUUCCAUUAAAUCUGACCUACCUCUUAA